CUGUCAAGGGUGUAAACAGCGCCAUUUCUUCCAGCAUACAGUGCCGAGAGCUGAAGGACUUGGAAAAUGCCCUUACCAGCAACCGGUGUUUAUUUUUGGAACGGAUGCUAGUAAUGUGGGAAACCCAAAACGUACGGGAGAGAAGAGAGUCACCUGUAUCGCACCACCGGAAAUCACUACCAAAACACAAAAUCCAACAUGCAACCGUGAGGAGGAAGGCUGGCAGCAAAACAAUGAUCAAGCACUGAUGUCCGGCCCAGCGCAGCAUUCAGCAAGUAGAGAGUUUAAAUGCCGGUUGAGUGAAUGAAGACAGAAUGAUCAUUUCAGUUUGCCAGGGAACCAUACCCAUUGUCUACAAGUAAAUGCUUAUAAAGGGGCUCGAUGGUAAUUCAUGUUUGUCUUUAUUUCUCCUUCAGUUAUGACCUAGUGAGAAGACCACAAGUACGUUACCCUACUGCUGCGGCUGAGAUAAAGGGAGAUGAGCGAGGUACUCACCUGGGGCACAUUUACAGGAGUACCCCAAAAAACCUCAAUCAUCAAGGACAGGACACCAUCAACACCAGCCAGAAAAAAUUGCCAUGGUUUCUUGCUGAGGAAGGCAUCAGACCUUCAAAAGUAGCUGAUUCCAGCCAGCCGCUGUCAUCACACAAGAAGCUCUUGCGAACUGACCUGCCAUGUAAGAAGAAUGAGCCUCUAAACGUGGCCACAGCUCAGUGAUACUGACCCACCACCCACCGUCUCUUUGCUGAACCGAGGAGCUCUGAAGGCGGAGGUGGUACGCGAGGCCAGGAGUGCUCCAGGAGAAGUCCGAGUUGUGGUGACCCCCCCCCUCCCCCCAACUGCCCGGAGUCACCUCAGCCCUCCCAGUCUGCAUUGAGGCACCCCUUCCACGAGGCUGUGAGCAUCCUGGGAUGUACCCCCAUAGGCUCCUGAAUGGAGCCCUGGACAUGGCAGGUGGCUGCCCUCGCGUGCUCAGUAGAUGUUCCCUGCUGCGGUCCCGACCCCACGCUCCUUACAGCCCUGUCCUCCCUGGAACUUCAGAGAUGGUGCCCUACCGUGGUGCUGCUGGGAGCCUCUCCAGCUGCUCUUGC